UACAGAGGGUGCGAGCGUUAAUCGGAAUUACUGGGCGUAAAGCGUGCGUAGGUGGUUUGUUAAGUCUGUUGUGAAAGCCCCGGGCUCAACCUGGGAAUGGCAAUGGAUACUGGCAAGCUAGAGUGCGGUAGAGGGUAGUGGAAUUCCCGGUGUAGCGGUGAAAUGCGUAGAGAUCGGGAGGAACACCAGUGGCGAAGGCGGCUACCUGGACCAGCACUGACACUGAGGCACGAAAGCGUGGGGAGCAAACAGG
rnacentral:rRNA from 1 species